GCUAAUACUUCUUCGACUCUGAAUUCUAUAUACUUGUAUAACAAUUUUCUCCACGGAAGCAUCCCACCAUCUUUAUUUUCCAUUCCAUCUUUGGAAUGUAUUGAUCUCUCCAAUAACCAGCUUCAAGGUCAAAUUCCAGAGUUUUCAAGUGAUACUUCUUCGACUCUGUAUUCUAUAAGCUUGAGUAACAAUUCUCUCAAUGG
rnacentral:lncRNA from 1 species